rnacentral:rRNA from 1 species
CCUACGGGUGGCAGCAGUGUGGAAUAUUGGACAAUGGGGGGAACCCUGAUCCAGCCAUGCCGCGUGUGUGAAGAAGGCCCUCGGGUUGUAAAGCACUUUCAGUGAGGAAGAACGCCUGGUGGUUAAUACCCAUCAGGAAAGACAUCACUCACAGAAGAAGCACCGGCUAACUCCGUGCCAGCAGCCGCGGUAAUACGGAGGGUGCGAGCGUUAAUCGGAAUUACUGGGCGUAAAGCGCGCGUAGGUGGCUUGAUAAGCCGGUUGUGAAAGCCCCGGGCUCAACCUGGGAACGGCAUCCGGAACUGUCAAGCUAGAGUGCAGGAGAGGAAGGUAGAAUUCCCGGUGUAGCGGUGAAAUGCGUAGAGAUCGGGAGGAAUACCAGUGGCGAAGGCGGCCUUCUGGACUGACACUGACACUGAGGUGCGAAAGCGUGGGUAGCAAACAGGAUUAGAUACCCCAGUAGUC